GCCGAAGUUUCCCCGGGAGCAGCCGGGAAAGUUGCGGCCGGCAGCGAGCGCAACUUUGCGCGCCGGCCCCGCAGCCGCCGCCCGCAGCAUCCCCGCAGCAUCCCCGCGGCGCGGCCCGGCCCGGCCCCGUUCAAACUUGGCGGCCGCCGCUCCGAGCGGGCCGGCGGAUCAAUGCGGCCGCGGCCAGCCGCGCUGGGAGCCGGGCUACAGGUUUCACCAGCCAUCGCUGGCAACAGCUUUGUCAUUUUCUAAAAAUAAGAAGCUAAAAGUUAUUGUAGAAGAAGGGGCUUUUUUUGUCCCCCGCACAAUGUGCCUUUUGUGAGUUUAAUGCCAUUCUGGGGCUCUCUAUAGCCCCGGACAAUGGGGAACUCCAGGAGGCGGCUGUGCCUCUGCCUUUUUUCUUUCUUGCUUUCUCUUUUCUCCCCCCCCCCCCCUCCUCUUUUUUUCCCUUUUUUCCCUCUUUUUUUUUUUUAUUCUUUUUUUUCUUUGCAUUUUUUUUUUUUAAGGAAAGGAUGCAGCAUUCCUCCAGUCCCACCAGAACCUCUGCUUUGAUUAAAUAAAUAUUUCUCUAGCCUUACGGUAAUGCUUUUUACUUUCUGUUUGGGUCCAUCUGCAAUUAUUAUUUAAAAUUUUUAUUUCCAGCAGCUUUUCCCUCCCCAUUCUAGCUCUAGCAAAAAAUGUAGAUGAUUGCUGGGAACGUGGGAUUUGAAUUUUAGGAGGAGGUGAACCAGUAGCAAGCCUCUAUCCAGGCUUCAGGAAUAUGUUUUUUCAUCUUUCUAUAAGAGGCUAUUUUAUUACUAGCAGAAAUGCAGCUGAAUUAAAUCAUUUGUCUUGAAAAUCUAAAGAAGCUUUUUCUUUUUUUCUUCAUUUUUUAAAUUUUUUUUUCUUUAUUUUCAUAAUAACAUAAAUAAUUAACUUCCGGGUUUGUUUCAUAGCUCUGAACAAGGAAUGCAGUUGCGGUCAGUUUUUCCAUUUGGGAGAACCUUAAUGUAGAUGUAUUUUAUACUGCAAGGUAAUAAACUGCAUGUUUGUUAGUAAAUAUUUUAAUGAAAUGUCUUGAGCUAUCCCUAUUUCUUAAUGUGGGGGUUGUCAUUUGGAAUUUUGACAAGUCCCUUUAAGUGGGAUGGGAGUGAAGGAAGAGGAUGGAUGAUUAGGAAUUUGACUGUACUGUUGAUGCAUUGAGGGAAGUGUCUUGCAUUUGAGAGAUAGUCACAGGUUUUAAGACUUAGGGUUUGAUAGGUGCCACAGUUCUGUGGAUGUUGUACCUGGUGAUCCCGGUGUGCUGUGUGUGAGUCCUGGUGGUUGGAUUGACUCCAGUACGAGACCAGUUUGCCUUUAAAAGCUGCCCUUAAAAAUCUGUCAGUCCCUGCUCGAUAUAUGUCUAGCUGGCUUUAUGGAAGAAUAAUUGUUAAUGUACUUGCCCUUAAAAAACAAAACAAAACCCUAAAACCAAACCCUAAGAAAAACAAUGCCAAGCAAAAAAAAAAAAAAAAAAAAAAGAAAAACACAAACCAACCAACCCCCAAACCACGGAGCCCUGGGGGAAGCGGAAUUUUUCAGGGCUGCUCAGUGCGCUGUCUGAAAAGGUGCAUGUAAUUUGUAACUGUUUGCUGAACAUGAACCAAACGUGGGUUGAGGAUGAAGUUGAGGCAAGAAUAAAGUAACCCUUGUCUUUAGCACUUGGGAUAACUUAGAAGUGCCUCUUUUCUCCAGAGGCUGUGGAUCCAGUGGCCCAGGCUGCGAGUGGGUGCUGCCUGCGGCCACAUUUUUUGCAGAGCAAAGCAAAAGGAAACGUGUGGGGAAGUUGGGGAGCAAAGGAGCAACUGUGGAUGCUCCAGAAAUAGGCACCUCCGCAGGGACGUGUGCGGGCGCGGGCUGGAGCCAUGGAUGUUGUCUCUGUGCUUGCAUCGUGAAUUCUGGCUGUGUGCUGCUGUCCUCUAAUUUCCCAUGACAACAUAUGGAUCCCAUAAAGGCAAACAUGCCGGAGUGCAUCUGUCUGGGUAGUUAACACAAACCAAACAUCCCCCUGCUCGGCGAUCCUGCUGCUCCUCUGGCCGCGCUGCGCGGAGCCCUCCUGCGACAGCCCCUCGCUGCUCCGGCAUUCCCCGUCACGCUCCCGGGGUGAGCCCGACUGCCCCGGGAGGGAGGAGGGCAGCAGGCGCCAGCUCAGGGGAGCGGAGAGGUUAAGCGGGAAGAGGGGCGCGCGCCCUGCGGCCCCCCGCCCUCCUGGGAGCUGGUCCAGCCCGAGCAGGCUCUGCCCUGGGGUCAAGUCCUAGGACAUCUUCCCUCCACUCCUGGCAAGGCAGGAGCUGAAGCUGGGAAGGGAAACAGCCAGAUGAGCGGAUGGCAGAGAUUUGCCCCUCGUCCUGGAUGCAGCCGUCUGGAGGCUGGGGAACGGGAGAGUUCCCAGUUUUCCGAGGUGCAAAAAGAGGUGGUGAGGGGAGGCUGUGUGUGAAAAGAAGGGAAGGAGCAAGUGACGGCCGCAGGACCAGCGGAUAAAACCACUACGCAAACACCGAAAUGCAGCCAAGGAAUUAAGGGAUAAUUCGUACAGAAAUUGUUAGGUAUGAUUACAUGUAUGUGCAUGCGCGUGUCUCCUCUAGAAAAUUUGCUUUCCAUAAGAUUUCUUUGUUCUAGGCAAAAAGACAACCUGGUUGCUAAAAUAUAAGAAGGGGCUUCCCUUGCUUUAAUUAGAAAUCUUGAUACAGCCUCAUCUGCAAUAGUGCGGGUGCCUCUUGUUUCUAUACAUGUAUCUCUGCACACGCAUAGAUGCGAUUUUGGGUUCAAAUAGCUUUUAAUGUGCUUUAGCAGAAAGAAGCUCUCAGUAUCAGAUCUGCAGGGAAAGUAAGACUGAUUUUUCCCAUAGGAAACUUGUUAAAGACACAGCUGAAUUAUUAGAUCAGCCCGUUUUUUUGUCUCAUGGUAUAUCUGACGUAUUUGCGCAUAGAAUCGUAUAGUUUAAUUUCCGUUAUUUUGAACACAUGGAACGAAUAGCGGUGCUUUAAAGUUAUUAUUUGUAGAAAUGUACACAAAUUAAGAGGAACAACUUUGAAGCAAAAUGUUUUUCUGAGGCAGCGCGUAUGGCUUUCUGGACAGGACUCUCGGCAAAGAUGGUUGUUAUCUCUGACAUGUAAAACAGGGCUCUGUGCUUCUUGGAAAUGUGUCUGAAGAAUCAGAACAAAGCAUGGAAGGCCAGAGUCCUUGAAGGAGCUCCAAAUGAUAAAGUCUGCCAUUCAUUUUAAACACAGCGUGCAUUGUGGAAACACAGGUCAAUUUGAAGGCAUUUGUCAGAUUUCCAGUUCCCUCUGCUCCUUUGCAAUGGAAAUUUGCAAUCAAAUCCCUGUGCUGGAGUUGGGAUGUCUGCCUUGAUCAGUUUGUAUGACUUUAUGCCCAAAGCACUGGCCAGGUAAGCUAGCUUUUCCUUUGGAAAGUUUGUUUGCGUGGAGUUGAGCAGGAGACGGGGGGGAAGACUGAGGGGAAUCGAGCUGGAGCAGAUGCGUUUAUUCCAGGUUUGGAAAGGGGAAAGGGCAGGCGAUCGGCGGUGACGGAUUGCACAGGGCUGGCUGAGCGGCAGGAGUGAGCUGAUACCAUUUAGAGACGCCCAGCAAGAGGCAUGGAAAGGGAUAUUCCAACAGCAGCGUGGUCAUUGUUGAGAUGCAGAAAUGCAGCAGGGCUGAAGAGCCACAUUGCUGAGCAAUUCUGGCCAGACAGCAGGAAUUUCUUCUGGCGGCAUGUUCCCCUUGGUUAAUGCUGGGGCUGCCACCCUUAUUGCUGACACGAGUGGGGAUGCUGGAGGGGAGAGUGCAUUUCUCUAGAAGAAAUGCUGUAGGAUUUGGGGAGGUUUGGGCUGGAGGGGAUGUUCAAAGGAACAUCUUCAAUUUAUUUCUGGGGGUUUACCUGAUUAUUAAAAGACACUGCGCUCUAGGCAGUGGGAUUGACGGGACCUCUGUGGGCUAUUCCAGCUGUCCCCAAACCUCUGGCAAGGCUGCUGCAGCCAGGCUGAGUAAACACUCCUUAGUCAGCCAGCAGGCUUGUAAUGUGCAUUUGCUUGUUUUGCAGGCCAUAACACAAGAGGAGUGGAUGUGUUUGCCAUGGAAAUAAACACUUGGAAUACAUCUAUAUGUUUCUUGGCUUUUUGAGAGAAAUGAAGAAAAAAGUCUUGGCAUUUAAUUAGGAGUCACUAACCUGAUAAAUAUUGAACAUCAUUUCUUUGUGAGCUGCUCCCUGUGGUUGCAGUACUCUAUGGAUGUAUUCCACAAUUGCACUUGUUUAAUGCCUGUAUCACCUCAUGCCUAUUGUAUUUAUGUUGUCAUCAAUGUCAGAUUUUAAUUAAACAAUUAAAUCACUGUCACAGCAA